rnacentral:rRNA from 1 species
GAUGAACGCUGGCGGCGUGCCUAAUACAUGCAAGUCGAGCGAACGGACGAGAAGCUUGCUUCUCUGAUGUUAGCGGCGGACGGGUGAGUAACACGUGGAUAACCUACCUAUAAGACUGGGAUAACUUCGGGAAACCGGAGCUAAUACCGGAUAAUAUUUUGAACCGCAUGGUUCAAAAGUGAAAGACGGUCUUGCUGUCACUUAUAGAUGGAUCCGCGCUGCAUUAGCUAGUUGGUAAGGUAACGGCUUACCAAGGCAACGAUGCAUAGCCGACCUGAGAGGGUGAUCGGCCACACUGGAACUGAGACGCGGUCCAGACUCCUACGGGAGGCAGCAGUAGGGAAUCUUCCGCAAUGGGCGAAAGCCUGACGGAGCAACGCCGCGUGAGCGAUGAAGGUCUUCGGAUCGUAAAACUCUGUUAUUAGGGAAGAACAUAUGUGUAAGUAACUGUGCACAUCUUGACGGUACCUAAUCAGAAAGCCACGGCUAACUACGUG